rnacentral:rRNA from 1 species
GAUCAUGGCUCAGGAUGAACGCUAGCUACAGGCUUAACACAUGCAAGUCGAGGGGCAGCAUGAAGUCAGCUUGCUUCAUUUGCCGGCGACCGGCGCACGGGUGCGUAACGCGUAUGUAACCUACCUUAAACAGGGGCAUAACACUGAGAAAUUGGUACUAAUUCCCCAUAACACUUUUGAAGGCAUCUUUGGAAGUUGAAAGUUCCGGCGGUUUAAGAUGGACAUGCGUUGUAUUAGUUAGUUGGUGAGGUAACGGCUCACCAAGACGACGAUACAUAGGGGGACUGAGAGGUUAACCCCCCACAUUGGUACUGAGACACGGUCCAGACUCCUACGGGAGGCAGCAGUGAGGAAUAUUGGUCAAUGGUCUGACGACUGAACCAGCCAUGCCGCGUGCAGGAUGACGGCUCUAUGAGUUGUAAACUGCUUUUGUACAAGGGUAAACCCCGAUACGUGUAUCGGGCUGAAAGUACUGUACGAAUAAGGAUCGGCUAACUCCGUG